rnacentral:rRNA from 1 species
UACGUAGGGUGCAAGCGUUGUCCGGAAUUAUUGGGCGUAAAGAGCUCGUAGGCGGUCUGUCGCGUCGGCUGUGAAAUCCCGAGGCUCAACCUCGGGUCUGCAGUCGAUACGGGCAAACUUGAGUGUUGCAGGGGAGACUGGAAUUCCUGGUGUAGCGGUGAAAUGCGCGGAUAUCAGGAGGAACACCGGUGGCGAAGGCGGGUCUCUGGGCAACAACUGACGCUGAGGAGCGAAAGCGUGGGGAGCGAACAGG